rnacentral:rRNA from 1 species
GAUGAACGCUGGCGGCGUGCUUAACACAUGCAAGUCGAACGGAAAGGCCCUGCUUUUGUGGGGUGGUCGUGAGCCGCACGCGUGUGUAAAACAUGAGUAUACCGUACCUGUCAUAGGGAUAUCUCCUCGAGACUGCGGAUCAUAUCGGGUAGGAGCUACUGCUGCGUGGUGGGGGUUGGUAAGAUUCGGCGGUUGGGGAUGGAUUAGCGGCUUAUCCGCUUGUUGGUGAGGUAGUGGCUUACAAAGGCUUUGACGGGUAGCCGGCCUGAGAGGGUGACCGGCGACAUUGGGACUGAGGGACGGCCCAGACGCCUACGGGAGGCAGCAGUGGGGAAUAUUGCAGAAUGGGCGGGAGCCUGAUGCAGCAACGCCGCGUGCGGGAUGACGGCCUACGAGGUGAGAACCGCUUUCUCAGGUGACGAAGCCGGAUUGACGGUAAUGGGUAAGGAAGCACCGGCUAACUACGUG